rnacentral:lncRNA from 11 species
GGGGGGUUGGCCCGGGAAGGCCUGGGGCUCCCGUCUCCCGGCCUCGGACCCGGCGCUCAGUCUGCGCGGAGGAAGCCUGGCAGGGAGCUGCGGGCAGGAAGCGGGGCUGGGGGCGGCAGGGACACGCAGCUCCACGCCGGCGCCGCUCUGGGCCCCCUCCUCCUCCUCCUCCAUCGCUCCAUCCCAAAGCGGGUCGCCGUGAGCCUUGCUCGAUUCUCUCUCUCUCUAAACACGUUCUGUCAGGGACUCGUCUCUGGCUCUGCAAACCGUGAGCUAAAGGGGCUGAUCGGGGAGGCGCGGGGGUUUCUCUCCUGGCAGAAGGAAGGAAAGGGCUUGGACUGGAAUGGACGGCCCUUGCGGGAGCCCAGGCUUCGGUGCUUCUGGAGGUGGCAGGGAGGAGGAGGAAGAGGAGGUCUGGGCAAGCGGGACGAGCCUGAUAUGGCCAGCAGUCUGCUCUUUGGCCACCCCAGAGCACAGAACCUCUUUUCAGGAAAAUUGUGACUGCCUUAGGGCCCCUGGUUUUUCUCCUGUGAAGUGAUGUCAGACACCAGCAAAUAAAUCAUGCUUUGACCAGAAAUGUUGUAAUAAAGUGCUGUGAAAGAUGUGAAUCCUGUUCUUGGCAAGAAAAACACAAAGAAAGAUUUCCACAGGAAAACUAGUAUUUUCUUAUGUUUAUUGUCGUAAAAAGGAUGGAGUUAUGUAGUGUGUGUGUUUUAAGUUGCCUGUCAAGUUAGGACAGCUACAUAAAUUAAAUAAGAACCAGGUGGUUUGAAUCCUGGAGUCUGCUUCUGGAAACCAGGAUUCAAAUUUUCAUUCAGCCAAGGAAACUCACUGGGUGACAUUGGGUUCAAAUUCGGUGGGCGGGAUGAGUUCCCAUCUGUCAGCUCCAGCUUCCCAUACAGGGACAUGAGAGAAGCCUCCCACAGGAUGGUAAAACAUCUGGGUGUCCCCUGGGCAAUGUCCUUGCAGACAGCCAAUUCUCUCACACGAGAAGCAAGUUGCAGUUUCUCAAGUCGCUCCUGACACACAAAAACAUUGGGCAGGACACAGUCUCUCAGCCUCAGAGAGGGCAAAGGCAACCUUCCUCUGAAUAAAUCUUGCAAAUAAUAACUCUUGGUGGGUUAAUUUUCUGUCUCCAUAAGUCAGAAAUGCCUUGAACACACAGAAUAAAAAUGAAAGCAUGCCAUAUAACCCAGAAUAUCAAGGCAGAAAAAUCCCCCAAUAUCUGCUUUGAACGGGGUUAUCUGAGUCCACACUACCAUAUAUCCUAGUUCAAAGCAGAUCAUGUGGGAUUUUAUUCAGCUGUGUGGAAGGGGCCUAAGAGGUGGUUUUGCCAGUUUGAAAUAAGGCCUCCAGCCCCUGGCAUUCAUUGGCAGUCUCCCAUCUAAGUGCUCAUAUAUGACAUUUUAACAGAGCUUUUUCCCAGGACAAGUGAAUGAAGGGAGUAUUCACCCCCCCCCCCCUUUACUAGGAAAUGUAUCAACAUUGUAUUUGGAAAUUUACCAAAUGCUUUUGUCUACAAUAUAAUCCAGUAUGCUUAUAGCUGGUUACUGUUACAUUAACAUUUUUCUUCUGCUGUCCUAAUCAGAUAUACACAAUUGUGACAUUUUUAAUACUUUGCAACAUUUUAAAGGACUUAUUUAUUACAUGGAUGAAGAUGGAUGAAGCAUGCCUUAAAAAUAAAGGAAUAGAAGGGGGAGGUAAAAAAAACAUUUAACACAAUAAGAAAUGAUGAUACACUUUCUGUGGAAGCUAUUUGUGAAUCUGGCAUUGCUGUGUCCAAAAUGAAAAAUGUUUUCUGGGCUUGUGCGCAAUAAAGAUUUAUUUGGCAAAUAUGGUGUGAUAUCAUCUGCAAAGGACCCUUCAACAUGGAUCCUUUAUCUUGAAGGGAGAGGGGAGAAUCAGCUUCGUGGUGGCUGAAUGAUACAUGGAUUUGGGUUAACACAGUUCAAAAACAUCAACAAAAGUUGUUUCCCUGCAUUUUGGGUGACUAAAUAGUUCUGUCACUUCCUAUUCAGGACUUGGCUGUGGCUGCUUACAGGGCCAUCCCACUUUCCCUGGGCUCAGGCAGCCUAGGGAUAGGGGACAGCACUUACCUUGUCCCAUUGUUUUUGAGUGGUAUCCACCAGACACAAAGAUGGCAUUUCAUCACUUGGCACCUAGAGUGAUGUUAUCUGGAAUGAUAAGGUGAUCAGAGAAGGAAAGAAUGAAAGGAGGGGGUGAUUCUUUCGGUCCCCUGUUCUCCUUGCAUUGCUUUGCCAAUCUGGGUAUCAUUGCUACAGGUGCCAAGCACUGUUCAGUGUCAUUUUCAUGCCCAGCUGGCAGUGCAUAGCACAGAACAAUGUGCACAAGAUAAGGAUGAUGGUCCGGUAGGAAUGAACAAGGUCUGCACUGCUUCACCAUGUAGCCACCAGGCUGCCUCAGAAAGGUGCAGUGCCUGAACCAAGUCCAUGGCUAGCUAUGUGGAUUAAAAUGAUGCUGAUGCAGAGUAUCCCACUCCAGUUCAGUAUCACCAUAAAUGCAGUCUUAGUAAUGAAUCCAGAAUUAAUUAAACCCACUAGAUAAGUUUUUACAAAUCUACCUAACUUUACCUCUGAGUAAGGUAAAGGAGAUCCCCCAUCUGAACGAAUUCUGUAAAAAAAAACCCCGUGGUCGAUUUUCCUUAUAAUCUGAAGUGAUGUGAAGACACAGAACAACAAUAUGAGUGAAUACAGAGCAGUCACAGAACCAUAACUCUAGGUUACAAAUGCAUAAGUACAAUACAGAAUGCCAGUCCGAAUUUGCACAAUUUCAUAACCAUUGGCUGCACACAGCUAAUGGAUGUUCUAAACUUUUCUAGUCUCAAAUUAUGGGCACAAAAAAGUAUCCUGGUCCAGAGUAUUAUGUUCCGUAUGUGAGAGAGAGUGGUUUUCGAGCACAGGAGAGGUUGCAGAUUUGAGAGAUGCUUGAUAGCUACUAGCACAGACUUGAAUUGAGGAGGCUUCCAAGAAUAUGUUCAUAACAACUGGCCAAAAUACAAUGUGCAGUUAUUCUAUCUCUUCCCUCCUUAAUAUAAAUACUUUUCUGUUGUAAGACAAAAAUGGAAAAUGAUGUGGGAAAACAGGAGGGCUGUUAAUGGGUUAUUUGGAUCCCCCUACCUGGUGAAAUGUUAUGAAUGAUGAACCAGGAUUGUGCAAUUUAGAAAUUAAAAAAUUCUCUGGAACCACCUUUGGGCUACAUGCAUAUUUUCUGACUCACUGCUGUAACUUCUUUUGUAGUAAAAUAAACAUGAGGAAAACAUGAUAUAACAAUGGACAGUACGUUGUACAUGAAAUCAAAAUGCAAGGAGGAAUAUAUUUCAUAUAUAGUGACAACAUGUGGAGUCUAUAAUCAGAUUGGCAUGAUUUUUGAACAGGGGGCAUAUCAAACCGUUGUGCUCCAAAUGCAAAAGGGUUAGAAUCUCUGAGGAUGUAGGGAGAUGAAUGUUUGGCAGAAUCGGUUAUCUCUACGGAGGUAAGUAUUCAAAGCUGAAGCAAAUUAGAUGUAC